UACGUAGGGAGCAAGCGUUGUCCGGAAUCAUUGGGCGUAAAGCGCGUGUAGGCGGCUUGAUAAGUCUGCUCUGAAAGCCCGGGGCUCAACCCUGGGAGGCGGGUGGAUACUGUCGAGCUCGAGUCCGGAAGAGGCGAGUGGAAUUCCUGGUGUAGCGGUGAAAUGCGCAGAUAUCAGGAGGAACACCAAUGGCGAAGGCAGCUCGCUGGGACGGUACUGACGCUGAGACGCGAAAGCGUGGGGAGCAAACAGG
rnacentral:rRNA from 1 species